UGAUUAGAUUCUGUCAAAGUGAAGAACUGUAAAGAAUCUCUGAUGUUUACUACUUCAUUCUACCAAGAUGAUCUACACGUCACAUGCAACUCAAACUACACUAUCAAAGUGUACAGAGCAUGCCUAUACAGGACCCUAGUACAAAUAUCACAGUUUCUGAUAUCAAGAACUACAUUCUGAAAUUGACUUCACAUGAAAGGAAGCGGUUUGUUAGUGGAAGUUGUAUCAGUACUACAGCUUAUUUUAGUAAUGCCAUCAACCACCUGUAUUACAGUAUUUAAGGAGUACUAUGAAACAAGAUAGGCUUAAUCAUUUGUAGCUAAUUGGUGUCCACAAAAUUACACAGAUGAGUUGUUAAUGACAUCUGUAGCAGAUGAGUUCAGAACACAGAUUGUCAUUAUUUGGAUGCGUCUGAAGUAACAUAUGAUGCCACUGUAAAACUGUAAGGACACAAAUAAUAAAAACUAGUCAUUAACUGGCGUUAGGCCCGACCAAUCUGAAUCAGCUUCCACUGACUCUAGUUAUACUUAAGCCCUGUUUACACGACGUUAUGGGACCCGGGCCGAAUCCGGGUCCAUGUGUUUACACGGCAAUUAGUUGGGCCGAGUUGGGCCCUGGGCCCACGGGCACGGCUCACUUCCGAAUGCCGGGUCAGCCCCGGGUUAUGAUAGUAUGGGCUCUGCCCAUCAUUGACUAACACGCGCAUGCAGUGAAUCAUGGCAGAAGAUUGUGAACUCAUCUCACGUGCUUUUCAAGUAAUCUAGUUAAUUGAAGGAAAGCUAGUGUCCCAAUAAGUGCCGUCACCUCUUCGUCAGUCCAUAGUACGGUUUUAGUUCGUGUAAACAUGGCUUUAGUAGUGCAUAAACUGGUCACUGGCAAGUACAGUUUGUGCCAUAAUUAUUGAGAGUCUUUCGGCGGGAGCGUGUCACACAUGGCACCAAUUUUUUUAGUAGCUGCCUGCCAAACAUUCCCUUGCUUUCAGAGUAGGAUAGAUGACUUUCUAGAUUUGUCUGGUAUUCAAGAACAAUGUCUAAAAACCGUGCAAGAGUGAGACCAAUGACAAAAGUUUACGUUAUCAAUAUUUCGUACGACCUCCACUGUUUGCAAUACAUUGAUUUAGACGGUAUCGUAAUAUGUAAAAUAGUUUUGGAUAUCAAUUGCCUAAGACCCUCCCACACUUUCAGUAUCCUGGUUUCCCGUUCCAUCUUGUUGUUUGGUCACUUCGUCUCUACUUUGCGUUUCAUCCACCUCCAUAAAUUUUCAAUUGGAAUCAGGUCCGCUGAGUUCACAGGCCAGUCGAUAACGUGAACGUUUCUGCUAGCGAGAAACUUGAUCUCUCGCUAUUCUAGACUUGUCAGCUGGUGCAUUGUCCUGUUGCAGCCUCCAACCAUCGGGAUAGGGAGUGUUUGCAGUUUCAAACAAACGCUCAUCUAGGAUGGAUUGAUACAGAGUCGAGUUGAGCAACAGAUGUCGGGUUACUGUCUACAGGAGGUCAAAUACUAAGAGAAUUAGGAAAGUGCACUCAUCGCUGAAGAUUAUGUUCUGCCAGCUGUCAUGGCGACCGGUGGCGCAGACACCAUUCAAUUCCAAUCUAGCUGAUGGCGAUGAUCUAACUCAGCUGUGUACUAACUCAGGAUACAUGCUUUUGUAUACGUGUAUGUAUGGCUUGUGUUUCUCACUUUUGGUUCGUUAGUUUGUCGCUAUAUUCUAAAUUUACGCAGUUUUUGGCAAGACUAAGAAAA